rnacentral:rRNA from 1 species
GAUGAACGCUGGCGGCGUGCCUAAUACAUGCAAGUCGAGCGAGCGGCGGACGGGUGAGUAAUGUCUGGGAAACUGCCUGAUGGAGGGGGAUAACUACUGGAAACGGUAGCUAAUACCGCAUACCAUCAGAUGUGCCCAGAUGGGAUUAGCUAGUAGGUGGGGUAACGGCUCACCUAGGCGACGAUCCCUAGCUGGUCUGAGAGGAGGACCAGCCACACGGGAACUGGGAAACGGUCCGGACUCCUACGGUAGGCAGCAGUGGGGAAUAUUGCACAAUGGGCGCAAGCCUGAUGCAGCAAUGCCGCGUGUAUGAAGAAGGCCUUCGGGUUGUAAAGUACUUUCAGCGGGGAGGCGUUACCCGCAGAAGAAGCACCGGCUAACUCCGUGCCAGCAGCCGCGGUAAUAC